rnacentral:rRNA from 1 species
GGACUACAAGGGUAUCUAAUCCCGUUCGCUCCCCUGGCUUUCGUGCCUCAGCGUCAGAAAAGACCCAGUAAGCCGCCUUCGCCACCGGUGUUCCUAAUGAUAUCAACGCAUUUCACCGCUCCACCAUUAGUUCCGCUUACCUCUGUCUCUCUCGAGCUCGGCAGUAUUGAGCGCAAUUCCUCGGUUGAGCCGAGGGCUUUCACACCCAACUUGCAAAGCCGCCUACGCACCCUUUAAGCCCAGUGAUACCGAAUAACGUUCGUGCGGUCCGUGUUACCGCGGCUGCUGGCAC